GUUCUUCUUAGUUGAAAGCUUUGGCUAAAAGCUGUUCUUGGGUGCUUUGAAAUUUAUCGUAAAAGCUGCUUGUUUGGAAUGGUUAUGGCCACAAUAGGCCAAAAGCACCAUCAAAGAAGGCUUUGACUGCUUUUUGGCUGAAGCAUCCAACCAUGUGCUUGGGCAAAAAGUAGCAGCGAUGACAUCCUUAAACUGAUCCAUACAGAAGCAUUUUGUUUAACCGUACAUUGUUGGUUUACAUGCAUUUAAGGGAUACUGACGACUGUCUAUUGCUAGAGAGACAUUUUGAGAAUCCAAGAUAAUGCAAUUGCUUUAAUGAAACACAAAUGACUGGUUCAAGUAUAGGUCAUGUGAAUGUCUGUAAUGCCCACUGAAUGGAGUGUUUUUCUGAAGAAAUGGAAAGGCUUUCUUUCCUUCCACAUGGGCAAAAAGGCAGAGGCCAACAGAUAUUUACUUAUUUUAAAAUUUCUUCUACUUGGCAGAGAAGCUGUGGAUGGCUUUUCCUAGGAAGGACCAUAACACGAGCUAUUAUUUCAAGCUUGAAGAGUGCACUCCUAUUGUUAAACUCUAUUAUUAUUGUUGUUGUUAUCAUUACUAGUAUUACUACUAUUAGUAUAUUGGUAAUAGCAUUAGACUUGAAAAUUAUUGCUUUUUGAUUGUGACUGGACCAAGGAGUGAAGACUGUUUGAGGGUACUUCCUGUUAGGGGUCUUGGAAGUGAAGGCUGUUGCCCUGGUUAAACUAGGGUAGAUUCUACAUGCUACAUAUUUUUUCUUCUCCUCCCUCCCCCUUCUUCAUUUGCUUUCAUUUUUAUUUUAGUUCUGCGUGCUUGUAACUGCUAGGUAUUAAUGCUUUAUUUGUUGUACAGAGGCUCUUUUGUUCUAAAUUUUGGAGUUAGAUUAAUGCUUUAUCCUAAAUAAUGGCAACAAGAAAAGUGGAACUGCCUUUUUAAUUUAUUACUCAAAAUUUUAUAUUCUCUUUUCAUUAGGUGAUUAUAUUUCAAUUACUUUUGUUUUUGUGACUGUGAUCUUAAGUUUAAGGACGUCCAACAAUUAUAACCCGUACUAUUUUGCAGAAAGAAAAUGUCCAGCCUAGAGAA
rnacentral:misc_RNA from 1 species